rnacentral:rRNA from 1 species
AAUGAACGCUGGCGGCAGGCCUAACACAUGCAAGUCGAACGGAUCCUUCGGGAUUAGUGGCGGACGGGUGAGUAACGCGUGGGAACAUACCCUUUGGUACGGAAUAGCCUCGGGAAACUGGGAGUAAUACCGUAUGUGGUCGAGAGACGAAAGAUUUAUCGCCAAAGGAUUGGGCCGCGGUGGAUUAGGUAGUUGGUGGGGUAAUGGCCUACCAAGCCGACGAUCCAUAGCUGGUUUGAGAGGAUGAUCAGCCAGACUGGAUCUGAGACACGGCCCAUAAUCCUACUGGAGACAGCAGUGGGGAAUCUGAGACAAUGGGGGAAACCCUGUUAUAGCCACGCCGCGUGAUCGAUGAAGGCCUUAGGGUUGUAAAGAUCUUUCAGGUGGGAAGAUAAUGACUGUACCACCAGAAGAAGCCCCGGCUAACUCCGUGCCAGCCGCCGCCGUAA